UGCGUAGGUGGCUAAUUAAGUCAGUGGUGAAAGCCUGCAGCUCAACUGCAGAGGUGCCAUUGAUACUGGUUAGCUUGAGUAUGGACGAGGUAGGCGGAAUUUGUGGUGUAGCGGUGAAAUGCAUAGAUACCACAAAGAACACCAAUAGCGAAGGCAGCUUACUGGACCAUAACUGACACUGAGGCACGAAAGCGUGGGGAGCGAACAGGAUUAGAUACCCUGGUAGUCC
rnacentral:rRNA from 1 species